CAUUGGGGUAUCUAAUUUAAAAAAAUGUCCAGUGACCCGGCCAACCAACCAAGAUGGCCGCCAUGGCUAAAAAUAGAACAUAGGGGUAAAAUGCAGUUUUUGGCUUAUAACUCAAAAACCAAAGCAUUUAGAGCAAAUCUGACAUGGGGUAAUAUUGUUCAUCAGGUCAAGAUCUAUCUGCCCUGAAAUUUUCAGAUGAAUCGGACAUUUCGUUGUUGGGUUGCUGCCCCUGAAAUGGUAAUUUUAAGGAAAUUUUGCUGUUUUUGGUUAUUAUCUUGAAUAUUAUUAUAGAUAGAGAUAAACUGUAAACAGCAAUAAUGUUCAGCAAAG
rnacentral:lncRNA from 1 species